ACUCUUACCUGGCAGGGGAGACACCAUGAUCAGGAAGGUGGUUUUCCCAGGGCGAGGCUUAUCCAUUCCCCUCCGAUGUGCUGACCUCUGCAAUUUCCCCGAAUGUGGGAAACUCGACUGCAUAUUUGUGGUCAUGAGGGACUGCAUUUGUGCUUUCCCCUG
ensembl:snRNA U1 U1 spliceosomal RNA